AUUGAACGCUGGCGGCAGGCCUAACACAUGCAAGUCGAACGGUAACAGGAAGCAGCUUGCUGCUUUGCUGACGAGUGGCGGACGGGUGAGUAAUGUCUGGGAAACUGCCUGAUGGAGGGGGAUAACUACUGGAAACGGUAGCUAAUACCGCAUAACGUCGCAAGACCAAAGAGGGGGACCUUAGGGCCUCUUGCCAUCGGAUGUGCCCAGAUGGGAUUAGCUAGUAGGUGGGGUAACGGCUCACCUAGGCGACGAUCCCUAGCUGGUCUGAGAGGAUGACCAGCCACACUGGAACUGAGACACGGUCCAGACUCCUACGGGAGGCAGCAGUGGGGAAUAUUGCACAAUGGGCGAAAGCCUGAUGCAGCCAUGCCGCGUGUAUGAAGAAGGUCUUCGGGUUGUAAAGUACUUUCAGCUGGGAGGAAGGGAGUAAAGUUAAUACCUUGGCUCAUUGACGUUACCCGCAGAAGAAGCACCGGCUAACUCCGUG
rnacentral:rRNA from 1 species